rnacentral:rRNA from 1 species
ACGGGGCGCAGCAGGCGCGAAAACUUUACAAUGCGAGAAAUCGUGAUAAGGGAACUCCGAGUGCCCGUAAAAUCGGGCUGUCCAUCGGUUUAAAUAACCGGUGAAGAAAGGGCUGGGCAAGACCGGUGCCAGCCGCCGCGGUAAUACCGGCGGCUCGAGUGGUGGCCACUAUUACUGGGCUUAAAGCGUUCGUAGCUGGUCUGUUAAGUCUCUGGGGAAAUCUUCCGGCUCAACCGGACGGCGUCUCAGGGAUACUGGCAGACUAGGGACCGGGAGAGGUGAGGGGUACUCCAGGGGUAGGAGUGAAAUCCUGUAAUCCUUGGGGGACCACCUGUGGCGAAGGCGCCUCACCAGAACGGCUCCGACAGUGAGGAACGAAAGCUGGGGGAGCAAACCGGAUUAGAUACCCGGGUAGUCCCAGCUGUAAACGAUGCGCGUUAGGUGUAUCGGUGGCCACGAGUCACCGAGGUGCCGAAGAGAAAUCGUGAAGCGUGCCGCCUGGGAAGUACGGUCGCAAGGCUGAAACUUAAAGGAAUUGGCGGGGGAGCAC